rnacentral:rRNA from 1 species
AUUGAACGCUGGCGGCAGGCCUAACACAUGCAAGUCGAACGAGUGGCGGACGGGUGAGUAAUGUCUGGGAAACUGCCCGAUGGAGGGGGAUAACUACUGGAAACGGUAGCUAAUACCGCAUACCAUCGGAUGUGCCCAGAUGGGAUUAGCUAGUAGGUGGGGUAACGGCUCACCUAGGCGACGAUCCCUCGCUGGUCUGAGAGGAUGACCAGCCAAACUGGAACUGAGACACGGUCCCAACUCCUAAGGGAGGCAGCAUGGGGGAAAAUUGGACAAUGGGGGCAAGCCCGAUGCAGCCAAGCCGCGUGUAAGAAGAAGGCCUUCGGGUUGUAAAGUCCUUUCAGCGAGGAGGCGUUACCCGCAGAAGAAGCCCCGGCUAACUCCGUGCCAGCCGCCGCGGUAAUAC